rnacentral:rRNA from 1 species
CCUACGGGUGGCAGCAGUAGGGAAUCUUCCGCAAUGGACGAAAGCCUGACGGAGCAACGCCGCGUGAGUGAUGAAGGUCUUCGGAUCGUAAAACUCUGUUAUUAGGGAAGAACAUACGUGUAAGUAACUAUGCACGUCUUGACGGUACCUAAUCAGAAAGCCACGGCUAACUACGUGCCAGCAGCCGCGGUAAUACGUAGGUGGCAAGCGUUAUCCGGAUUUAUUGGGCGUAAAGCGCGCGUAGGCGGUUUUUUAAGUCUGAUGUGAAAGCCCACGGCUCAACCGGGGAGGGUCAUUGGAAACUGGAAGACUUGAGUGCAGAAGAGGAAAGUGGAAUGCGAUGUGUAGCGGUGAAAUGCGUAGAGAUAUGGAGGAACACCAGUGGCGAAGGCGGCUCUCUGGUCUGUAACUGACGCUGAGGCACGAAAGCGUGGGGAUCAAACAGGAUUAGAUACCCUGGUAGUC